rnacentral:rRNA from 1 species
ACGGCCAUACCAUGCUGAAUAUACCGGUCCUCGUUAGAUCACCGAAGUCAAGCAUCACGGGGCGCGGUCAGUACUUGGGAGGGUGACCACCUGGGAACAC